rnacentral:rRNA from 1 species
CAUCGCCUUUAGAAAAAAAUAUUAAAGGUCCAUUCUGCUCUAUGAAAUUUUUAAAUGGCCGCGGUACCCUGACCGUGCUAAGGUAGCAUAAUAAUUUGCCUCUUAAUUAGGGGCUUGUAUGAAGGAACAUACGUGAGCACGACUGUUUCAUCUUUAAUCAUAAAAAUUAACCUUUGGGUGAAAAGGCCCAAAUACCAAAAAAAGACAAAAAGACCCUAUUGAGCUUAACCUAUUCUUCUUUCAAUCUUAGAGAACUCAUUUACUUAAGAAGCUGAGGUUCAGUUGGGGCGACCAAAGAAGAUCUAAAUCUUCUUUCAUAAAUUAGGAUACCAGCCUAUAAAUUUGAUCCGGAUUUCCGAUUAACGAAAUUAGCUACCAUAGGGAUAACAGGCUAAUUUUCUUUGAGAGUUCAAAUUGACAAGAAAGUUUGGCACCUCGAUGUUGGCUUAGGGCUACUAGUAAGUGCAGAAGCUUACUUAGCAGGUUUGUUCAACCUUUAAACCCCUACGUGAUCU